rnacentral:rRNA from 1 species
AUUGAACGCUGGCGGCAGGCCUAACACAUGCAAGUCGGACGGUAGCACAGAGAGCUUGCUCUCGGGUGACGAGUGGCGGACGGGUGAGUAAUGUCUGGGGAUCUGCCCGAUAGAGGGGGAUAACCACUGGAAACGGUGGCUAAUACCGCAUAACGUCGCAAGACCAAAGAGGGGGACCUUCGGGCCUCUCACUAUCGGAUGAACCCAGAUGGGAUUAGCUAGUAGGCGGGGUAAUGGCCCACCUAGGCGGCGAUCCCUAGCUGGUCUGAGAGGAUGAGCAGCCACACCGGAACUGUGACACGGUCUGGACUCCUACGGGAGGCAGCAGUGGGGAUUAUAGGGCAAUGGGCGCAAGCCUGCUGCAGCCAUGCCGCGUGUAUGAAGAGGGCCGCCGGGGUGUACAGUACUUUCAGCGGGGAGGAAGGCGGUGCGGUUAAUAACCGCGCCGAUUGACGUUACCCGCAGAAGAAGCACCGGCUAACGCCGUGCCAGCCGCCGCGGUAA